AUGGUAGAUCUGUCACCAAAUAAAUCGAUUAAUCGAUCCCUGACUGCGACUCCUUUUUAUUUGUUAUUUUGUCACCAAUACAGUAGUUACAUUUUAUUUCGUUCAGUUAUUAAAAUAAUGUAUUCGUUACCAAUUUAAUACAUCAGUUUAUAAUUUUAAUGAAAAUAUGUUCAAAGGGAAGAGGAAGGGAAGGGAGACAAAUUGGCGCGCUUUCGGGCCUCACCGAAUGGGUUGUAGGUUAGGUACGAUCAUACGAUGCAAGCAUAUUAUCGGAUUAGCCAUAGGCGUAAAGGUGCCCAACCCCCCACCAGAAGCAAAAAAAUUACUUAUCGGCCAGAAAAAAAAAGAGGGCGCCCUUGAAAAUCCAAACCAGCGCUGUUUAUUCAGUGAUUGUUAUUUUUAACAAUAAAUAUUGAUUAUUUUGACUUUAAUUAAGUGUUUUAUUUACUAUUCAGCUAGAAAUUUAAUUUAAAUAUAUUUAUACUACCUGUGGAAAUUAUAACCCUUUGGGGGAGGCACAUGACCAGUUAAGUAGUAGACUCUUUUGGUUGAAAGGAUGAUGACGACCACCCUACAUUUUUAGACCUUCAUGAAAUUUUCUAGUGAUAUAAUAUAUGAUUUAUUGGUGAUCUCUUUAAAUUAGUUUGCUUAAAAACUAUUGGGACAAACCUGUUAUAAUACAUACAAAACCAUUUAUUUGGUACUUGACCCCAUAUCUCCAUGAUUUUCGGUAAUUUAUUGUGGAAUUGAUUUUAUAUUGUUUGGUGACUACAUUUGGUGACAAACCUACUAUUUUGUGGCAAACCCUAUUAUUUAAGAAACACAAAAUGAAUUAAAUUGGUGACAGCUUAAAUCAUACCCGUUUAUAAAUAACGUCAUUUUUAGAAAGAAAGAAAGAAAGAAAAACCAUUUAUUUGACACACAAAUGACGCAAGAAACAAACACACACAGAUACAAACAAAUAAAUCAAGGGACAAUACAAAAAGAAGAACAAAAAGAAAAGCGCUCCAGCUGCGUCAUUCAUGUGUGAAAAGGGGCAGCGCUCAGCAUAAAUGCUGUGUCUCGCACACGCAGGCACGAGACAACAGCGCUGGUUUUCAGCGCUGACCCAACACAUGACUUUGCCUCUCGGUACUAUACAAUCCUGACGCCGUUUCGGCACGAAUAAAGUAAAUAAAUAAAUUUAUAUAUAUAUGUAAUAAGUAAUAAGUAAAACAACAGAAACAAUAAAAAUUAACGAACAAUAGUACAUUAGAUAAAAAAAACAAUGAAUAUAAAACAAACCAUAGACAAAACAAAACGAGAAUAUCAAGACAAAAUACAUAGACAAAAACAGGUGAAUAAAAAAAAGAAAAGUUGAACAGAGCGCUACAGACCAGACCAUAGACAGCGCGGCAAGUGAAAAGUGUCAAUGUCAAAGAUCAAGCUAGGUUAACCGGCCAAUUGCACGAGAGAUAUUUUGUUAUGCAAUUAUGAUGGCGGAAAGUGUAUCGAGUGAUGUAAUAAGUGUAUUAUGUUGUGAUUAUGUGAGUGGAUAUGUUUAUUGUGUGAAACAAAAGUAUUAGUGUGGUGUGGGGCGAACAUAUUAAAGCUAACCCGUAGCGGAUGACCAUACGAAACAGUGGGUGAAAUGCAUUCCAGGGAUAAUCAUUCAAGGACCAGAAGUGAUACCACUUAGGAAGAAUAUGGAGUGAAGCAGACAGGAGGCAGCCAAACCACUCCACAAACACUACUGGGGAUCCCACCAAGGACUGUGGGCCAUAACACAUGAGGCCCCUUAAAGGUGGUGGAAGGUCAUUCCAGCAGUGUGUGGCUGCAAAUCUGAAGCUACCCCUGAAAGCUGCAGUUUUGUGAAGUGGGACCCUCAGCGGAGCAACUAUGGAGCGAAGACCAUUGCCAAAAACGCGGGAUAAGUCCUCCUCUGUGCGAAUCCUCUGCGCCUUGUCGCCCGGAGCCUUCCUGACGAGGAUGCGGCCCCGCUUGGUCCAGACGAACUUCCAACCGAGAGCAUUCGCGGCGUCACGCGCCUUACGAAAUAACAAGCGGUUGGCUUUCGUCAACCGCUCGUUCAGGAAGAACCGCUGCACUGGUGCGGGCAAGUCGAGGUCUGCAGUGGUAGCCCCUCGCCGGGCUCGCGCGCUGGCUAGAAGCUGAUCGCGCAGGUCCCGGCGAGCGAGGCGCACGACGAUCGGCCGUGGACGAGAUUCAGCCGGACCCGCUGAAUUAGUCACGUUCAGCUGCCUCCCACCAACGCGCUCUGCACUAACAAUAUCGCGGUCGUCCAGGCUGAUCCCGAGCUUGUGGCCGAUGACCUUGAAUAUAUGGGCAGGGUUUUCCGCCUUUCCCUCCGGUAGGUUAGACACCUCGAUGUCGUUGGCAAGCAAAUCCUGAUCUCUGUCGUUGAGCUCUCGCAUUAGGUCCUCCACAAUCCCAUCCACGUUCGAGUUCGAGGGACUAGAGGUGGCAAGCUUUUCAAGGGCAUCCACCCUUGUUUCCAAGCCGUCAAUGCGCGUGCUGCAAGUGUUUAAGGUGGUCUUUAGUUCAGCCAUUUCCACCUCCAUUUCUUUUCUAAACAUCUGAAUCUCCGCACGGACUGCCCUCAGCUCGUCAAGUAUGACCUGCAAGUCCAUACAAGGCGCUGGCGGUUGCUUGUUGAUGGUAGCGUAGGCAAUAGACACUUCAGACGGCGUAGGACUUGCGACGGAACUUGUUGUUGCAUCUGGCGAGCCUGCUAUGGUCAUUGUCCCUGCAACAUCACUAGGAGGGCUUUGCGCGGUGCCUCUGACCGGGGUUUCAUUUCUGUUGUCCCUAGCAACGUUCUUCUUACACUCGAGACAACGCCAUUUAGAAGAAGCCCUGGUAUUCGGAGGGAUCCCUGCACAUAUUCUACAGUAGAAUAGGUUGCAUUUGCCACACUUAGCGCCAUCUAGCGCUGUGGCAAAGCGCGCGCAACCUCCGCAUUUGACGCCCGGCAUUGCUAGUUUCACAGGUUGUACCGAGGAAACAAACUAGAUGGCGUGACAGGAGAUUCACCGCACAAAUCAAUAGGUUGCUUUACACGACGAGGCAGAUGGUGCUGUAUGGACGUGACAAGACCUCAGGGUUUAAUUUUGCCAAUGGCAAGGAUGUAAACAAUACUGUCACUGACGUCUAACUUUUUCGUAGAUUUUUAGUGGGUAGACGUAUAAACAAGUCAAAAAUCGGAUUUUUAUAUUAUUCUAUUACAGCCCACA